rnacentral:rRNA from 1 species
CCUACGGGGAGCAGCAGUGGGGAAUAUUGGACAAUGGGCGAAAGCCUGAUCCAGCCAUGCCGCGUGUGUGAAGAAGGCCUUCGGGUUGUAAAGCACUUUCAGUGGGGAAGAAAGCCUUGGGGCUAAUACCCUCGAGGAAGGACAUCACCCACAGAAGAAGCACCGGCUAACUCCGUGCCAGCAGCCGCGGUAAUACGGAGGGGUGCGAGCGUUAAUCGGAAUUACUGGGCGUAAAGCGCGCGUAGGCGGUCUGAUAAGCCGGUUGUGAAAGCCCCGGGCUCAACCUGGGAACGGCAUCCGGAACUGUCAGGCUAGAGUGCAGGAGGGGAAGGUAGAAUUCCCGGGGUAGCGGUGAAAUGCGUAGAGUUCGGGAGGAAUACCAGUGGCGAAGGCGGCCUUCUGGACUGACACUGACGCUGAGGUGCGAAAGCGUGGGUAGCAAACAGGAUUAGAUACCCUAGUGGC